CCUACGGGAUGCAGCAGUGGGGAAUAUUGGACAAUGGGCGAAAGCCUGAUCCAGCCAUGCCGCGUGUGUGAAGAAGGCCUUCGGGUUGUAAAGCACUUUCAGUGGGGAAGAAAGCCUUGGGGCUAAUACCCUCGAGGAAGGACAUCACCCACAGAAGAAGCACCGGCUAACUCCGUGCCAGCAGCCGCGGUAAUACGGAGGGUGCGAGCGUUAAUCGGAAUUACUGGGCGUAAAGCGCGCGUAGGCGGUCUGAUAAGCCGGUUGUGAAAGCCCCGGGCUCAACCUGGGAACGGCAUCCGGAACUGGCAGGCUAGAGUGCAGGAGAGGAAGGUAGAAUUCCCGGUGUAGCGGUGAAAUGCGUAGAGAUCGGGAGGAAUACCAGUGGCGAAGGCGGCCUUCUGGACUGACACUGACGCUGAGGUGCGAAAGCGUGGGUAGCAAACAGGAUUAGAUACCCUUGUAUC
rnacentral:rRNA from 1 species